AGCUCCAAUAGCGUAUAUUCAAGUUGUUGCAGUUAAAAAGCUCGUAGUUGAAUUUUGGAUCUGGUUAGGUGGUUUAGCCGCAAGGUUAACACUGCUUUGACUGGUUCUUUCCUUGUAGGGAAUUAACGUAUUCUUAACUGAGUGCGUUAAGGAUCUACAACUGUUACUUUGAAAAAAUUAGAGUGUUUAAAACAGGCUUAUGCUUGAAUACUACAGCAUGGAAUAACGGAAUAGGACUUUGUUUCUAUUUUGUUGGUUUGAGAAACGAAGUAAUGAUUAAUAGGGAUAGUUGGGGGCAUUAGUAUUCCAUUGUCAGAGGUGAAAUUCUUGGAUUUAUGAAAGACUAACUUCUGCGAAAGCAUUUGCCAAGGAUGUUUUCA
rnacentral:rRNA from 1 species